rnacentral:rRNA from 1 species
AGUGUAGGCGGGACUGCAAGUCAGAUGUGAAAUUUAGGGGCUUAACCCCUAAACUGCAUUUGAAACUGUGGAUCUUGAGUGAAGUAGAGGUAAGCGGAAUUCCUAGUGUAGCGGUGAAAUGCGUAGAUAUUAGGAGGAACAUCAGUGGCGAAGGCGGCUUACUGGGCUUUUACUGACGCUGAGGCUCGAAAGCGUGGGGAGCAAACAGGAUUAGAUACCCCCGUA